GCGAGCGAAGCGGCAAAAGCUCAAAUUUGAAAGCUAGCGUCUUUUAGGCGUUCGCAUUGUAAUUUGAAGAUGGCAACUUUGGUGGCGGCUCUUGCACAUGUUCCUUGGAACAGGACAUCAUAGAGGGUGAGAAUCCCGUACAUGGUGGGAGUACCGUCGCUUUGUAAAGUGCUUUCUAAGAGUCGAGUUGUUUGGGAAUGCAGCUCUAAGUGGGUGGUAAAUUCCAUCUAAGGCUAAAUAUAGGCGAGAGACCGAUAGCGAACAAGUACAGUGAUGGAAAGAUGAAAAGAACUUUGAAAAGAGAGUGAAAAAGUACGUGAAAUUGUUGAAAGGGAAGGGCUUGAGAUCAGUCUUGGUUUGUAGUGAUCAACUGCGUUUCGGCGCUGUGCACUCGCUACUUACUGGGUCAGCAUCAGUUUUGGUGGUAGGAUAAGAACAGUUGAAUGUGGCUUUCUUUCGGGAAAGUGUUAUAGCUUCUGUUGAUACUGCCAACCGGGACUGAGGACCGCGCUUCGUGCUAGGAUGCUGACAAAAUG
rnacentral:rRNA from 2 species